rnacentral:rRNA from 1 species
GAUGAACGCUGGCGGCGUGCUUAACACAUGCAAGUCGAACGAUGAAGCCCAGCUUGCUGGGUGGAUUAGUGGCGAACGGGUGAGUAACACGUGAGUAACCUGCCCUUAACUCUGGGAUAAGCCUGGGAAACUGGGUCUAAUACCGGAUAGGAGCGCCUACCGCAUGGUGGGUGUUGGAAAGAUUUAUCGGUUUUGGAUGGACUCGCGGCCUAUCAGCUUGUUGGUGAGGUAAUGGCUCACCAAGGCGACGAUGGGUAGCCGGCCUGAGAGGGUGACCGGCCACACUGGGACUGAGACACGGCCCAGACUCCUACGGGAGGCAGCAGUGGGGAAUAUUGCACAAUGGGCGAAAGCCUGAUGCAGCGACGCCGCGUGAGGGAUGACGGCCUUCGGGUUGUAAACCUCUUUCAGUAGGGAAGAAGCGAAAGUGACGGUACCUGCAGAAGAAGCACCGGCUAACUACGUG